UCGAGGAUCUUCGGCAAUGGGCGCAAGCCUGACCGAGCGACGCCGCGUGUGCGAUGAAGGCCUUCGGGUUGUAAAGCACUGUCGAGGGGGAGAAAAGCCCGCAAGGGUGUGAUCUAUCCCUGGAGGAAGCACGGGCUAAGUUCGUGCCAGCAGCCGCGGUAAGACGAACCGUGCGAACGUUGUUCGGAAUCACUGGGCUUAAAGGGCGCGUAGGCGGGCUGCCAAGUCUGGGGUGAAAUCCCACGGCUCAACCGUGGAACUGCCUCGGAUACUGGCGGCCUCGAGGGAGGUAGGGGCGUGCGGAACUGUGGGUGGAGCGGUGAAAUGCGUUGAUAUCCACAGGAACUCCGGUGGCGAAGGCGGCACGCUGGACCUCUUCUGACGCUGAGGCGCGAAAGCCAGGGGAGCAAACGG
rnacentral:rRNA from 1 species